UACGUAGGCAGCGAGCGUUGUUCGGAGUUACUGGGCGUAAAGGGUGUGUAGGCGGUUUGGUAAGUCUGGUGUGAAAUCUCCCGGCUCAACUGGGAGGGUGCGCCGGAAACUGCCGGGCUUGAGUGUGGGAGAGGUGAGUGGAAUUCCUGGUGUAGCGGUGAAAUGCGUAGAUAUCAGGAGGAACACCUGUGGCGAAAGCGGCUCACUGGACCACAACUGACGCUGAUGCACGAAAGCUAGGGGAGCAAACAGG
rnacentral:rRNA from 1 species